UACGUAGGGUGCGAGCGUUAAUCGGAAUUACUGGGCGUAAAGCGUGCGCAGGCGGUGAUGUAAGACAGGUGUGAAAUCCCCGGGCUUAACCUGGGAACUGCAUUUGAGACUGCAUCGCUGGAGUGCGGCAGAGGGGGAUGGAAUUCCGCGUGUAGCAGUGAAAUGCGUAGAUAUGCGGAGGAACACCGAUGGCGAAGGCGGCUACCUGGACCAACACUGACGCUGAGUGAGCGAAAGCCAGGGGAGCAAACGGG
rnacentral:rRNA from 1 species